UGGGGAAUAUUGGACAAUGGGCGAAAGCCUGAUCCAGCCAUGCCGCGUGUGUGAAGAAGGUCUUCGGAUUGUAAAGCACUUUAAGUUGGGAGGAAGGGCAUUAACCUAAUACGUUAGUGUUUUGACGUUACCGACAGAAUAAGCACCGGCUAACUCUGUGCCAGCAGCCGCGGUAAUACAGAGGGUGCAAGCGUUAAUCGGAAUUACUGGGCGUAAAGCGCGCGUAGGUGGUUUGUUAAGUUGGAUGUGAAAUCCCCGGGCUCAACCUGGGAACUGCAUUCAAAACUGACUGACUAGAGUAUGGUAGAGGGUGGUGGAAUUUCCUGUGUAGCGGUGAAACGCGUAGAUAUAGGAAGGAACACCAGUGGCGAAGGCGACCACCUGGACUAAUACUGACACUGAGGUGCGAAAGCGUGGGGAGCAAACA
rnacentral:rRNA from 1 species